AUGACUAGGGAUAACCUUAGGAAGAUUCACAUCAUCAAACCCCUUGAUUGUGUUUACUGCUUGGAACAAGAGUCCUGUUCUCACCUAUUUUUUGAAUGUAUAGUUGCUAAACAUCUCUGGGCCCACAUUGAGGAAUAUUUCUCUAGUCAGAUUGGCUCAUCCUUUGAAUCUGUCACCAGAUUCUGGAUUGCUACCAAAAAGUGCUCAGCUUUAAACAUUGUUAGCUCAGCUGUCCUUUGGUGCCUAUGGAAAUAUAGAAAUGCUAUGAUUUUCAGUAACACCUCCUGGAUUUCCAUUCCGUGGGUCUUGAGGUUGAUCAGGAACAUGGUGAGGAACUGGGCGAUUCUCUCCUCCGGAUCGGACAAGGACAAGUUGAUGAGCUUCGUGGAAACCCUAACAAGAUCCCUCUAGAAACCGUUGGCUAUCACUUGUGGCUGA
rnacentral:rRNA from 1 species